GUCGUAGUUUCAAAGCAGCGUAAAGAGCCAUGAACGGACUAUGACUUUCAUAGUCCGUUCAUGGCUCUUUACGCUGCUUUGAAACUACGAC
rnacentral:miRNA from 1 species